GGUUGUAGCUUAGUGGUAGAGUGCUUGACUAACACUUUUGAGGCACUGGGUUCAAUUCGCAGCACCA
rnacentral:tRNA from 1 species